AUGCCUUUUGCUGCUCAUACAUCAACUAUGCAGACAGGUAUGCUCAUGGAGUGUCACCUGGACCAGCUGGUUCCACGUGUUCUGUCUCUGACCCUGCUGGUACACCUGUGCCUAGCUGCACCAGGUCUUCCAGGAACACAGAGGGAGGAAUCAGUAGAUGCCCAUCCCCCUUCUGCAGCACUACCCAAUCCCUUUGGCUCUGGAGAGGAGGAACGCAGUUUGAGACAGAGUUACAUUCAAUCAAGCCUGAAGAAUGGAGGUCAAGGAGGACCAGAAAUCACCACCUGGGAACAAGAGGUAUUCUUCCUGUUUGGCCUUUAUGAUUAUGAUCGCAGUGGGUUCUUAGAUGGCUUGGAGAUGAUGAAGCUCCUCUCAGAUUUUUAA
rnacentral:lncRNA from 1 species